rnacentral:rRNA from 1 species
CCUACGGGAGGCAGCAGUGGGGAAUAUUGCACAAUGGGGGAAACCCUGAUGCAGCGACGCCGCGUGUGGGAAGACGGUCCUCUGGAUUGUAAACCACUGUCCCCAGGGACGAAGAUGACGGUACCUGGGGAGGAAGCUCCUGCUAACUACGUGCCAGCAGCCGCGGUCAUACGUAGGAUCCGAGCAUUAUCCGGAGUGACUGGGUGUAAAGAGUUGCGUAGGUGGCAUAAUAAGUAGCUAGUGAAAUCUGGUGGCUCAACCAUUCAGACUAUUAGCUAAACUGUUAAGCUCGAGACCGUUAGGGGUAACUGGAAUUUGUAGUGUAGGAGUGAAAUCCGUAGAUAUUAGAAGGAACACCAAUAGCGUAGGCAGGUUACUGGGACGGUUCUGACACUAAGGCACGAAAGCGUAGGGAGCAAACGGGAUUAGAUACCCUAGUAGUC